GAUGAACGCUGGCGGCGUGCCUAAUACAUGCAAGUCGAGCGAACGGACGCGGCGCUUGCUUCUCUGUUGUUAGCGGCGGACGAGUGACUCACACGUAGAUAACCUACCUAUCUGACUGGGAUAACUUCGGGAAAGCGGAGCUCCUACCGGAUACUAUUUUCAACCGCAUGGUUUUGGAGUGAAAGACGGUCUUGCUGUGAACUCUCGAUGGAUCCGCGCUGCAUUAGCUAGUUGGUAAGGUAACGCCUUACCAAGGCACCGAUGCAUAGCCGACCGGAGAGGGGGAUCGGCGACACGGGAACUGAGACACGGUCCAGACUCCUACGGGAGGCAGCAGAAGGGAAUCGGCCGCAAUGGUCGAAAGCCUUACGGAGCAGCGCCGCGUGUGUGAUGAAGGUCUUCGGAUCGUAAAACCCUGUUAUUAGGGAAGAACAUAUGUGUAAGGAACUGUGCACAUCGUGACGGUACCUAAUCAGAAAGCCACGGCUAACUACGUG
rnacentral:rRNA from 1 species